rnacentral:lncRNA from 1 species
CUGUUCUGCUCUAUCUGUUAGACUCUUCAUAGUAAUUAAGUAAAAGCUCCAGUUCAAAUUGACAUGGCUUUUACAGAAGGAGAAUUCAUUGACUCAGAGAGGCUAGAAGAGAAUGAAACUAGAUAUCCUCUAAUUGUGUGCCAGGUACUCGGUCAUUGUGCUUUGACGCCUGCCUCCAUAACCCUGUCCUGGAUCCAAUUAACCAGCUGUGAGCACUGCCCUGAAGACACAGACAAGAGCACCUACUCUCAGGGACCAGGGACCUGGUUUGCUGAGGCAUCUGCAAACAUUCUCUUUGCCAUCCCCCUGUAUUGCCAAGAAAAGGUAGCA